ACGCUCGACACCUACGGGAGGCAGCAGUGGGGAAUAUUGCACAAUGGGGGAAACCCUGAUGCAGCGACGCCGCGUGGAGGAAGAAGGUCUUCGGAUUGUAAACUCCUGUUGUUGGGGAAAAAGAGGAUGGUACCCAACAAGGAAGUGACGGCUAACUACGUGCCAGCAGCCGUGGUAAUCUGAGCGGGCUGGCAAGGC
rnacentral:rRNA from 1 species